AUUGAACGCUGGCGGCAUGCCUUACACAUGCAAGUCGAACGGUAACAGGUCUUCGGAUGCUGACGAGUGGCGAACGGGUGAGUAAUACAUCGGAACGUGCCUAGUAGUGGGGGAUAACUACUCGAAAGAGUGGCUAAUACCGCAUGAGAUCUACGGAUAAAAGCAGGGGAUCGCAAGACCUUGUGCUACUAGAGCGGCCGAUGGCAGAUUAGGUAGUUGGUGGGAUAAAAGCUUAACAAGCCGACGAUCUGUAGCUGGUCUGAGAGGACGAUCAGCCACACUGGGACUGAGACACGGCCCAGACUCCUACGGGAGGCAGCAGUGGGGAAUUUUGGACAAUGGGCGCAAGCCUGAUCCAGCAAUGCCGCGUGCAGGAUGAAGGCCUUCGGGUUGUAAACUGCUUUUGUACGGAACGAAAAGCCCUGGGUUAAUACCCUGGGGUCAUGACGGUACCGUAAGAAUAAGCACCGGCUAACUACGUGCCAGCAGCCGCCGUAACAC
rnacentral:rRNA from 1 species